AGUAACGGCGAGUGAAGAGGGAAUAGCCCAGCACCGAAGCCUGCGGCAGAUUUGCUGUUAGGCAAUGUGGUGUUUGGGUCGGCUAGUGGGAUUGCCACUCCACUCGAAGUCCAGCAUUGAGUAUGGUCACUGGAUUUGGCCCAGAGAGGGUGAAAGGCCCGUACGGGUGGAGGUUCAGACAUGUAAGGCAGUUCACCAGGCCGGCCUUAGAGUCGGGUUGUUUGGGAAUGCAGCCCAAAGAGGGUGGUAAACUCCAUCCAAGGCUAAAUACAAGCACGAGUCCGAUAGCGAACAAGUACCGUGAGGGAAAGUUGAAAAGUACUUUGAAGAGAGAGUAAACAGUACGUGAAACCGCAUGCAGGUAAACGGGUGGCGUCAAGCUGCAAGCCCAGAGAAUUCAGCUGACUAGGGUGCAUGCGUCUGUCGCAUCAAUCAGUCGGAAUAAGAUGUUAAUAGUCCACUGGGUUACGGUGGGCCCGGCCGCAAGGUUGGGACAUGCGUACCGGGCGGAAGCCGGAGCAUACUGUUCAUCUGUUGGACUGUCUAGUUAGUGCACUUUCUCUGUGGUGAACACCACGACCGGUGGAAUUGCCAGUCUGCUGUAGUCAAGUUGUGCUGAGCUGGUUCUUGUAAUCAGCUGGGUGCGAUCACAGGCAAACUCAGUAAACGGCGUAAGGGUGUUUCGGCACCUUUGCGUGUUAUCGGCUACUGGUUGUCAACGGGCCUGCCUUAUGAUUGUUGUAACUGUCAUUUGGUGGUCUGGUGGACUAUGGUGGUAUGAAUAACUGUGCAAGGCAUCGGAGUUUUCGGCCUCAAAUGCAUCCCGCAUACACGUUACAAGUGGUGCGGGGUGCCAUUGCUAUCUGCCUGUUGUUGGGUCUGAUUGUCGUGUCGCCUGCACAAAGUGGGCCCGGCAGUGGCUCGAUAUGGGAUAGGUGGUGGAUGGUGCUCCCGGUGUGGGGUGCGGUGGGCCUAAUAGUCAGUGGUGUAGUGGUAGACGAGCUACCCGACCCGUCUUGAAACACGGACCAAGGAGUUUAACAUGUAUGCAAGUCAUGGGGUCCUACGAACCCAAAGGCGCAGUGAAAGUGAAGCUUCGACUUGUUCUCGAAGUGAGGUGAGAUCCUGUCGUUACUCGCAUCAGCCUAAUGUCAGCAUCAGGUUAAGAGCGGCAGGCGCAUCACCGGCCCGUCCCAUGAUGUGGUCAUUGGAUGUCUGUAGUUGUCGCUCGCGGCAGCUGUGGUGCCAGUGCGUCAUCGGGGCGGAGCAUGAGCAUACAUGUUGAGACCCGAAAGAUGGUGAACUAUGCUUGCGUAGGUUGAAGCCAGAGGAAACUCUGGUGGAGGACCGCAGCGAUUCUGACGUGCAAAUCGAUCGUCAAACGUGAGUAUAGGGGCGAAAGACUAAUCGAACCAUCUAGUAGCUGGUUCCCUCCGAAGUUUCCCUCAGGAUAGCUGGCACUCAUUCGCAUGAUCAGUUUUAUCCGGUAAAGCGAAUGAUUAGAGGUACUGGGUUCGAAACGAGCUCAACCUAUUCUCAAACUUUAAAUGGGUGAGAUGCCCGGCUCGCCUAAUAGGAGUCGGGCGUUGAAUGUGCGAGUGCCAAGUGGGCCAUUUUUGGUAAGCAGAACUGGCGCUGUGGGAUGAACCAAACGCUCGGUUAAGGUGCCUAACGCGGACGCUCAUGAGAUACCACAAAAGGUGUUGGUUAAUAUAGACAGCAGGACGGUGGCCAUGGAAGUCGGCAUCCGCUAAGGAGUGUGUAACAACUCACCUGCCGAAUUGACCAGCCCUG
rnacentral:rRNA from 1 species